CCUACGAGUGGCAGCAGUGGGGAAUAUUGCACAAUGGGGGAAACCCUGAUGCAGCGACACCGCGUGAGUGAAGAAGUAAUUCGUUAUGUAAAGCUCUAUCAGCAGGGAAGAAAAUGACGGUACCUGAGUAAGAAUCCCCGGCUAACUACGUGCCAGCAGCCGCGGUAAUACGUAGGGGGCAAGCGUUAUCCGGAUUUACUGGGUGUAAAGGGAGCGUAGACGGAAGUGCAAGUCUGGAGUGAAAGGCGGGGGUUCAACCCCCGGAGUGGUCUGGAAACUGUACGGCUGGAGUGCAGGAGAGGUAAGUGGAACUCCUAGUGUAGCGGUGAAAUGAGUAGAUAUUAGGAGGAACACCAGUGGCGAAGGCAGCUUACUGGACUGUAACUGACGUUGAGGCUCGAAAGCGUGGGGAGCAAACAGGAUUAGAUACCCGUGUAGUC
rnacentral:rRNA from 1 species